AUGUGUGUCCCUGAUCUCAGUAUUCUUAGGAGUGCUGUGUUAGGAGACAAAUCUUAUAAUUUGGGAGCCAUUGUUGCACGUAGGUUGCAUCAUAAUAGAUUUAAUGGAUAUUUCUUUGGAGGAAUUUAUGCAACCUGCUUAGCUGAUUUUCUUGGUGUGGACAUUCGUGACGAUGAUAUUGAGUUGCCUCCUACUUAUUUAGACUAUAAUGCUAUGGUCCACCACCAGUUUGUCGAGAGGAAUGAAUCACCUCUCCGGUAUCGCUUAAUCUUGACAGACGUCGUGCUGUCUGUAUUACUCUCCCUGCUCCUGCCUUCUUUGAUUAUCAGGCAAAAGGGAGAUAUGUUAUUACCAGAGAGGUGGCAGAUGAGUACGAGAUGA
rnacentral:rRNA from 1 species